rnacentral:rRNA from 1 species
UCCGGGAGGACCAUCUCCCAAGGCUAAAUACUACCUAGUGACCGAUAGUGAACCAGUACCGUGAGGGAAAGGUGAAAAGCACCCCGGGAGGGGAGUGAAAUAGAACCUGAAACCGUGUGCCUACAAGUAGUUAGAGCCCGUUAAUGGGUGAUAGCGUGCCUUUUGUAGAAUGAACCGGCGAGUUACGAUUACGUGCAAGGUUAAGUUGAGAAAACGGAGCCGCAGCGAAAGCGAGUCUGAAUAGGGCGAAUGAGUACGUGGUCGUAGACCCGAAACCAGGUGAUCUACCCAUGUCCAGGGUGAAGGUGAGGUAACACUUACUGGAGGCCCGAACCCACGCACGUUGAAAAGUGCGGGGAUGAGGUGUGGGUAGCGGAGAAAUUCCAAUCGAACUUGGAGAUAGCUGGUUCUCUCCGAAAUAGCUUUAGGGCUAGCCUCGUGAAUUAGAAUACUGGAGGUAGAGCACUGUUUGGACUAGGGGGGCAUCUCGCUUUACCGAAUUCAGACAAACUCCGAAUGCCAGAUAUUUAUACACGGGAGUCAGACUGCGAGUGAUAAGAUCCGUAGUCAAAAGGGAAACAGCCCAGACCACCAGCUAAGGUCCCAAAGUAAUCGUUAAGUGGAAAAGGAUGUGGCGUUGCUUAGACAACCAGGAUGUUGGCUUAGAAGCAGCCAUCAUUUAAAGAGUGCGUAAUAGCUCACUGGUCGAGUGACGCUGCGCCGAAAAUGUAUCGGGGCUAAACGAUUCACCGAAGCUGUGGAUUGACAUCUAAGAUGUCAGUGGUAGGAGAGCGUUCUAAGUGCGUUGAAGUCAGACCGGAAGGACUGGUGGAGCGCUUAGAAGUGAGAAUGCCGGUAUGAGUAGCGAAAGAUGGGUGAGAAUCCCAUCCACCGUAUGACUAAGGUUUCCUGAGGAAGGCUCGUCCGCUCAGGGUUAGUCGGGACCUAAGUCGAGGCCGAUAGGCGUAGACGAUGGACAACAGGUUGAUAUUCCUGU